ACUUAGAGGCAUCAAAGCGGAGGUUACUCACACAGGAAAUGUACGGAGGAAAUACUGAGUAUCAGGAUUGUCAGCACAACCUACCAGGGAGCUAAUUUUCAUAUUCCCUGUUGAUGAGCAAAUGAAUAUGAAGUUUGUGGUUGAGUACUUCCGGGAGGUGUAUGGAUUUUUCCAUAUAAUACACCCACUUCCCUUGUCUUCAAGUAGGGAGUCAAAAGAAAGUGAAUUAUUUUCCCAUUGAGGCAUGAUAAAUAGUUGGAGGACAAAGAUAUACAAAGAGAUUGAAUGAUAAGCAAAUAACUUCUUUACUCAAAGUUACAUGUAGGCGACCAUGUGACCAGGAAGAAGAUAGACAGUUCACCAUAAUGGCUACAACCAAGAUCCCCUUGCACAAGAGUUCGAGGGUACAAACAAAGUCUACGAUACAACGAUUCUCGAGCACAAGAAGUCGUUGAAUCGGUUGGUCGUUGAUGAAGCCAUCAAUGAUGACAAAUUGACAAUGCAAUUGCAAUUGUUGUUAUGCUCCUGGUGCAACAGAAACGUUUCAGACAAUACUUUUCUAAUCAAGGAGUUUUAGCAGCAGCGUCACUUGACCAGGAUGAGGAGCUCAGCUCAACUGAAGUUAUUUUCAGCUGUCUGACUGGUCUUACGGAAACUUUAUGAGGUGACUCCUUGUGACUUCCUCUGCUACAGAUUUUAAUUCCUCAGGGUUUGCAAUGAGGUGAGUUUCGUCAAUGCCAAACUCAAUUUAAAGUUAGGGUUUGAUUUUGAUUUUCCGAUUUCGCUCCAAGGUAAUUUUAUCAUCUCCUCUUUUUUAAUUUUUUUAAUUUGGAAUAAUUAAAAGAAAUUUGAAUUGCAGUUAAUUUCCUAUUGUUUUUGUUGAAUUGUUGCAGUGAGAGAAUAGAAUAUCAGAGAGGAGAUGAGGUAUCGUGGUGGUAUACUGGUAUCCAGAUGGCGAUAAGACUUUUUGAA